rnacentral:lncRNA from 1 species
CCCCUCGUAACACCGGGAACAGCCCCUCACAGUGGGAACAGCCCCUCACAACAGCGGGAACAGAAUCCCCUCACAGUGGGAAUAGCCCCUCGUAACACCGGGAACAGCCCCUCACAGUGGGAACAGCCCCUCACAACAGCGGGAACAGAAUCCCCUCACAGUGGGAACACCUGUUCCCAUAACAGCGGGAGCUGCCCCCAAUCCCGGCGGGAAGAGCAUCCCCUCACAGCCGGAACAGCCGCUCCUCACACCGGGACCAGCCUCCCAACACUGCAGGAGCAGCUGCCCCUCACACCGGGAGCACUGCCCCCUCACAACCGGACAAGUCCCUCGUCACACCGGGAGCAGUCCCCCAGCACUGCAGGAACUGUCGGGACCAGCCGGCCCUCACACCGGGACAGCACCAGCCGCCCCUCACACCGGCACCAGCCGCCCCUCACCGCAGGAGCUGUUCCCUCGCACCGGCACCAGCCGCCCCUCACACCGGCACCAGCCGCCCCUCACCGCAGGAGCUGUUCCCUCGCACCGGCACCAGCCGCCCCUCACACCGGCACCAGCCGCCCCUCACCGCAGGAGCUGUUCCCUCGCACCGGCACCAGCCGCCCCUCACACCGGCACCAGCCGCCCCUCACCGCAGGAGCUGUUCCUCACACCGGGACCCGGGGGUGCCGCUCACCCUCGCCGUGCCCGCCGGUCCCGUCCCGCCGCCGGCCGGGAUCUCCCCCAUCCCCACGGCACUGUCCCGCCCCGUCAGGAAUUUCCGCAGGGAAUCAGCCGGGCUCCUUGCCUGGCUCAUCCUCCUCCCCGCAACCCGCCCGGCCGAUUAGCGGAUUUAACCACAUCUUUUUGGGCUGCAGAUUUGGAUUUCACACCAAAUGCCUCCUAUACAGAGCCUGUGGCCAUUCCUGGGGCUGCCUUCAGCUUCCCUCUAGUGGAAUUGGCCUGAAACCGCCCUUCCGCAGGCGAUCCCGGAGCUUCAGAGCGGCUCCAAACUACAAAUACCAGCAGCUCCAGCACGCUGAGAGGCCCCAGGACCCACCUCUCCUAGAAUUAAUCUCUCCAGUUUAUUCUAGCAAAUAUUGA